UUGGCUCAGGAUGAACGCUGGCGGCGCACAUAAGACAUGCAAGUCGAACGGACCAAAUUUUUUAGUUUACUAAGAGAAGAGGUUAGUGGCGGACUGGUGAGUAACGCGUAAGCAACCUGCCUAUUAGUAUGGAAUAACAGUGAGAAAUCACUGCUAAUACCGUAUAAGCUGCGAGUAACACAUGUUGCAAACAGAAAAGGAGUAAUUCGCUAAUAGAUGGGCUUGCGUCUGAUUAGUUAGUUGGUGAGGUAACGGCCCACCAAGACGAUGAUCAGUAGCCGGACUGAGAGGUUAAACGGCCACAUUGGGACUGAGAUACGGCCCAGACUCCUACGGGAGGCAGCAGUGGGGAAUA
rnacentral:rRNA from 1 species